UUGUUGCUACGAUACACAGUUGUUAAAGUGCUUUCUCAAUUGUUGUGGUUCAAUAGUUUUCAUCAUUAAAUGCCAAGUGUGCAGUGCUGGUUCUACACUAUGCAGUUAUAAGUCCAUAUAUGGCAUGACAUUAAUAUUUUUUCACUAUUCUGAGAAGCCUAGGCUAUGGGUGUCGAAAUAGGAGAAACAUGUUUUAAGUCUAAUUGUUUAUUAUGGUAUUAUGAUGAAGAUUACCAAUUUACCAUUAUAGGUUCUUCAUGUAACUAAUAAGUUUAGUUCAUGAUUUAUUCUAGAGUCCAAGCCAAACAUUAAAUGACAGAACUCGACAUCACAACAUCUCACACGACACACUGAGUGGAUGCUGUUUACUUGGUAUAAGUUAGCAUGCUACAAAGAGAACAGAUGCUACAAGAAUUUAGGAUUUGUGAUUGCUGGGUUUUCCCAAUUGCAGGAGUGUACACAAAUUAAUAAUAAGUUAUUCAUCACUAUUAACUAAUCUUAACUCAAAGGAAAUUGAGUAGUACUUUAUCUGUUAUACAGUUUAUUAGAUAGUAAAAAUAAUUGGUGCUGUUUUAUAAUUGAAAAUUGAGUGCAAAAUCUAUAUUGUCAAUGAACUAAUAAUAAUUUUGUGUAGUUCUCAUACUCACGUUAGUCUGAUAGCUUUCAUUUAAGCUAAUACUAGCAAACUAGUUGCUGGAAGGUAGUAAUACCAGGCAUUGGGUUCUCUUUGUUUCUGGACUUCACGAGUCUUAAAAGAUUAAUGUUUCAUGUUACUCUACUAUAAAGCCAAGUUUCAGAAUCUUGGUUUGGUUUGCAGCCAUAUGGUGUAACGUCCAAUGAGCAAAUUGAACUUCAGAUUAUUGAUUUCGCUGUUUUUCUUAGUUUUUUAAACUAAACAGGAGUUAUAGGCAAAAAAAAAAAAUUCAUGCAAAAUACAUGGAAUCAUUUUGUGUUGGUUGGUGCUCUAAAGCAUAUUUUCUUUGAUGCAAAUAUGACUUUGUGGACAUGGUGGUUGUUGCUAUGGUAAACCACUGUUCUCAAAUGAUUGUGCCCAUAAUGUUGUUGAAUAGCUUUAAUGGUAUGCUAAAGCAAUGGUUGUGGUUCUGUAUUGUCAACUUAUGAUUGCACAGAUGGUUCCAUGUCAAGUUUCAUCACCACUAUUCAAAGCAUUAAUUAAGGUGUUAAGCAGUUGGUACUCUGUAAUGCUGCGAUGACAAAAAAUUCUGUUUACUGAAUACUUCGUUAUUGAAGCUGGAAUUCAAGCUAGUGUUCUAUGACUGAGAUUGACACUGGAAUGUCUUACUCAUCAUUUCUUGCAAUUGAUUGGGGUGUUCGAAUCCUUUUUUGCGAAUGUGUAGUUUGCAGGCACAGGGUACCAGGGAAGCUUCUUUUAUUGUGUUCUUUAGGUUCAACAGCCCAGGCUCACAUGGCAUAUUAUGGACAGUGUGAGUAUGUCAUGUGGAGCAUGGUGCUCAAAGUGUAGUUUUAUUAAAAUUUGUUGCAAAGAAGUGUAGUUCUGCAAAAUUAAUACAACAAAACCUAACCCAAAAGAAGUGUGGCUUUGUGAAAGAUAAUAAAAUGUGUGCUUUUAUGACA